GGGGCCAUAGCUCAGCUGGGAGAGCGCCUGCCUUGCAAGCAGGGGGUCGGGAGUUCGAUCCUCCCUGGUUCCACCA
rnacentral:tRNA from 1 species